rnacentral:rRNA from 1 species
CCUACGGGAGGCAGCAGUGGGGAAUUUUCCGCAAUGGGCGAAAGCCUGACGGAGCAAUACCGCGUGAGGGAGGAAGGCUCUUGGGUCGUAAACCUCUUUUCUCAGGGAAGAAGAAAGUGACGGUACCUGAGGAAUAAGCAUCGGCUAACUCCGUGCCAGCAGCCGCGGUAAUACGGAGGAUGCAAGCGUUAUCCGGAAUGAUUGGGCGUAAAGGGUCCGCAGGUGGCUGUGUAAGUCUGCUGUUAAAGAGUCAUGCUUAACAUGAUAAGAGCAGUGGAAACUACAUAGCUAGAGUACGUUCGGGGCAGAGGGAAUUCCUGGUGUAGCGGUGAAAUGCGUAGAUAUCAGGAAGAACACCGGUGGCGAAAGCGCUCUGCUAGGCCGUAACUGACACUGAGGGACGAAAGCUAGGGGAGCGAAUGGGAUUAGAUACCCCAGUAGUCCUAGCCGUAAACGAUGGAUACUAGGCGUGGCUUGUAUCGACCCGAGCCGUGCCGUAGCUAACGCGUUAAGUAUCCGCCUGGGGAGUACGCACGCAAGUGUGAAACCUNAAAUGAGUUAGNGNGNGAGAGNGCGAGACGACGACGAGGAGAG